UGUAGGCAUCACGUCAAAAUCAGCUGUUUGCUUUUAGCGUGAUUUGCUUGUGAAACGUAAAUAAAGUAAUCCAAGCUUCGCGUUUAAAUUGCUUAGUACUUUCGAUUGAUUUACUGAUCUGUGGCCCUGAGCAAAUUGCUUUGAAGAUGCCAGCAUAUGCGAUGCGGUGAUGUGUAUGCAGGCGCAGCAUCGGCUAGGAGGAUUCGAUACAAUUACAAUGGGCGUUAGAAACGCUCGCCAAAACUAAAACAAAAAGCAACAAUUGUUUUCCAUACUUAUAGCGAUUAGCAGGAGAAAAAGAGGAAAAGCGUUUAGCUAAUUUACUACCUGAAGAAAGGUUAUCUGAAAAACUACGCUGGAAAUAGUCACAAAAUAAAAAGUCGCCACAUUACCCACAGUUCAUUGAAAAUUUAGUACGUAGCUUAUAUCUAAAUUAAUCUGCCACGGGCAUUAAUAGGUUGAAGAUGAAUGUAAAGAAUGAAGUGUGCACACGGAAAAGUUUAAAUUAGAGAAACACAACGCAGAAAAAACUUGGAAACAAGGCCGAAAUUAAAGUCUCACAGCGUACAGAAAGUAAUGGUAUUGAUGGCUGUCAGAAAUCCACCUUGGCUCUAAUGACUAUGAUGACUUCAUGUAAAUACUAUUGAGAUGCGAAUACCAUAUUGCAUAAAAAAUGUUUGCUUCAUGUUUUUUGCGGAAAAUCGAUCGCUAUGAUUUACAUCUAAAAUUGUACACUUAAAAAUUCUGGAUAACAAAUUUCUAGCAUA